AUCAAAUAUACUGGUAGAUGUAAGGUAUGCGCUCGAAAAAUGGCACCAUCAAAAGUGAGCAUAAAAUACACUGUAUGCUUAGUUUUAGCGCCAUUCGUAAGCAAGCGCGGUGACGGCAUCACGUUCCAUCAUGCCGAAGUGUGUGAUGAAAAAAUGCAAAAAUUACACUUUAAAAGUGCAAAAAAAGGAUGGAGUCUCAUACUUCAAGUUUCCGAAAAAUGAAAUUCGGAAAGAACAGUGGAGGCAAAUAGUAGUA